GACGUAGGGCGCGAGCGUUGUCCGGAUUUACUGGGCGUAAAGAGCGCGCAGGCGGUCGUUCAAGUCGCGUGUGAAAGCCCCCGGCUCAACUGGGGAGGGUCACGCGAUACUGAUCGACUCGAAGGCAGGAGAGGGAAGUGGAAUUCCCGGUGUAGUGGUGAAAUGCGUAGAUAUCUGGAGGAACACCGGUGGCGAAGGCGGCAUCCUGGACCAAUUCUGACGCUGAGGAGCGAAAAGCCAGGGGAGCAAACGGG
rnacentral:rRNA from 1 species